AGAGUUUGAUCCUGGCUCAGAUUGAACGCUGGCGGCAUGCUUUACACAUGCAAGUCGAACGGCAGCGCGGGGCAACCUGGCGGCGAGUGGCGAACGGGUGAGUAAUAUAUCGGAACGUACCCAGAAGUGGGGGAUAACGUAGCGAAAGUUACGCUAAUACCGCAUACGAUCUACGGAUGAAAGUGGGGGACCUUCGGGCCUCAUGCUUUUGGAGCGGCCGAUAUCUGAUUAGCUAGUUGGUAGGGUAAAGGCCUACCAAGGCAACGAUCAGUAGCUGGUCUGAGAGGACGACCAGCCACACUGGGACUGAGACACGGCCCAGACUCCUACGGGAGGCAGCAGUGGGGAAUUUUGGACAAUGGGCGCAAGCCUGAUCCAGCAAUGCCGCGUGAGUGAAGAAGGCCUUCGGGUUGUAAAGCUCUUUUGUCAGGGAAGAAACGGCUGAGGUUAAUACCUUCGGCUAAUGACGGUACCUGAAGAAUAAGCACCGGCUAACUACGUGCCAGCAGCCGCGGUAAUACGUAGGGUGCAAGCGUUAAUCGGAAUUACUGGGCGUAAAGCGUGCGCAGGCGGUUUUGUAAGUCUGACGUGAAAUCCCCGGGCUCAACCUGGGAAUUGCGUUGGAGACUGCAAGGCUGGAGUCUGGCAGAGGGGGGUAGAAUUCCACGUAGCAGUGAAAUGCGUAGAGAUGUGGAGGAACACCGAUGGCGAAGGCAGCCCCCUGGGUCAAGACUGACGCUCAUGCACGAAAGCGUGGGGAGCAAACAGGAUUAGAUACCCUAGUAGUCC
rnacentral:rRNA from 1 species